AGGGUCGUAGCUCAAUUGGUAGAGCAGCGGUCUCCAAAACCGCAGGUUGCGGGUUCGAUUCCUGCCGGCCCUGCCA
rnacentral:tRNA from 3 species